AGAAAGUUGGUUCCCUUAUCUGAAUGUAGUCAUUCUAAAAUUUAUUUUUCAUGUUUUUGAUCAAAGGUGGUAUGAUGAUUUUAGCAACAUGGUUGAGCAAAGCAGCUCUUGAAGAACAAACAACUGUUAUUCUUAUCAUUUUUAAGUGGAUUUCAGGGAGAUUUGGCGAAUUACCUUCAAAAGAAAGGACGUCUACAGCCUUCUAAAGCUCUGAGAUUUUCUCUUGAUAUUGCUAGUUAGGUCCUCUUUAAGCUGGAUUGGGCUUGGGCUGACCCCCUGGUUGGAAUUGGUCAGGUCAAGUAUGGUUACCUGAUUUGGCAAUUCUGCUUCUAUCCUUGUGCUUCCCUGUUGGAAUGUAACUCUUUAGAGAUGGAAACCUCUCGUUACAAAUAUCAUGUGGAUGAACUUACCUUGUUCAGGCAAGUAUCUAUUUUCUCUUAUGCAAUGUGUUUCUAAAAUUUAUCAUCAUCACUAGAAAAAGGUAACAGAGUCUUUUUGCCAUUGUCUAAUCUUUUAUUUUCCCUUGAACAGCUUUUACCCUGCUUUCAGAGCUUGAUAGUUUCAAGUUAAAAUCCAUUCAUUACACUAGUAAUCGUAAUUAAAUUUGAUCCAAACAUGCCCUUAAAUUGUCUUUUAAGAUGUCAUGUUGCAAUAACAAUGUACUCAAAACAAUGGAUUUCAUGACGAGCGGUCCAGAUGAUGGUUCUAAUGCAUAUGUGAUCAUAACAAAAACAAGUAUGACAACUCAUCAGGUGGGCCACUCAUUUAUGAAAAAAAUAAAAACUGAUUUAGAAUUAAAUAGAAAUUGGUCACAUACUCAGCUUGUCUGCA